rnacentral:rRNA from 1 species
CCUACGGGGGGCUGCAGUGGGGAAUAUUGGACAAUGGGGGCAACCCUGAUCCAGCCAUGCCGCGUGUGUGAAGAAGGCCCUCGGGUUGUAAAGCACUUUCAGUGAGGAAGAACGCCUGGUGGUUAAUACCCAUCAGGAAAGACAUCACUCACAGAAGAAGCACCGGCUAACUCCGUGCCAGCAGCCGCGGUAAUACGGAGGCUGCGAGCGUUAAUCGGAAUUACUGGGCGUAAAGCGCGCGUAGGUGGCUUGAUAAGCCGGUUGUGAAAGCCCCGGGCUCAACCUGGGAACGGCAUCCGGAACUGUCAAGCUAGAGUGCAGGAGAGGAAGGUAGAAUUCCCGGUGUAGCGGUGAAAUGCGUAGAGAUCGGGAGGAAUACCAGUGGCGAAGGCGGCCUUCUGGACUGACACUGACACUGAGGUGCGAAAGCGUGGGUAGCAAACAGGAUUAGAUACCCCUGUAGUC